GAUGAACGCUGGCGGCGUGCCUAAUACAUGCAAGUCGAGCGAACGGACGAGAAGCUUGCUUUUCUGAUGUUAGCGGCGGACGGGUGAGUAACACGUGGAUAACCUACCUAUAAGACUGGGAUAACUUCGGGAAACCGGAGCUAAUACCGGAUAAUAUUUUGAACCGCAUGGUUCAAAAGUGAAAGACGGUCUUGCUGUCACUUAUAGAUGGAUCCGCGCUGCAUUAGCUAGUUGGUAAGGUAACGGCUUACCAAGGCAACGAUGCAUAGCCGACCUGAGAGGGUGAUCGGCCACACUGGAACUGAGACACGGUCCAGACUCCUACGGGAGGCAGCAGUAGGGAAGCUUCCGCAAAGGGCGAAAGCCUGACGGAGCAACGCCGCGUGAGUGAUGAAGGUCUGCGGAUCGUAAAACUCUGUUAUUAGGGAAGAACAUAUGUGUAAGGAACUGUGCACGUCGUGACGGUACCUAAUCAGAAAGCCACGGCUAACUACGUG
rnacentral:rRNA from 1 species